rnacentral:tRNA from 1 species
UGGAAAGCAGCUUAGAGACAGAGCAUUUGCCUGUCACGCAUAAGGCCUUGGGUUCAGUUCCCAGCCCUGCAA